rnacentral:rRNA from 1 species
UACGUAGGGCGCAAGCGUUAUCCGGAAUUAUUGGGCGUAAAGAGCUCGUAGGCGGUUUGUCGCGUCUGCCGUGAAAGUCCGGGGCUCAACUCCGGAUCUGCGGUGGGUACGGGCAGACUAGAGUGAUGUAGGGGAGACUGGAAUUCCUGGUGUAGCGGUGAAAUGCGCAGAUAUCAGGAGGAACACCGAUGGCGAAGGCAGGUCUCUGGGCAUUAACUGACGCUGAGGAACGAAAGCCAGGGUAGCGAACGGG